GGGGAUGUAGCUCAGCUGGAAGAGCACCUGCUUUGCAAGCAGGGGGUCGUGGGUUCAAGUCCCAUCAUCUCCACAA
rnacentral:tRNA from 5 species